GAUUUGCCCAGAUGGGAAGCUUCAAGUGCAGAGGCACUUGUACAUCUACUUAUCUUGAGUCUCAAUGAUGCUGUUUAUGAGUGAGCUAUUCAAAUGGAGGAAGAAACCCACGGAGAAGGAGAAAUAACAGGUCGGAGUGAUUAUGUACAGAAGGAUAGGCUCUAGCAGGAGUCCAGUGGGAAAGAAGGAAGGGAAUACAAUUAAGAAUUAUUAAUGGCAGAUCUCUAAUGAUUUCACUGGAUCCAAAGGAACAGGGCAAUACUGAGUAAGAAACACUUGAUAUACGAAAAAAGCGUGAGUGCGAAGGAAAAUACAUCAUUCUACAGAUGUUGACGGACUCUGACGGUGGGAAAGCGUCCCUCAAGAUUGAAUUGGAGUAGAAGCUGACCCUCCCACUUGCCCAGAGAUCCCCUAGCUGCUUUCCUGAUCAAUUUCAUCACACAAGCUGGCAGCUAUGGGCAGUGAGGGAAGGAAGGGGCAAUCUCCUCACUAGACAGCCGUGCCAAGGUCACCCUGGUCCAUCCAUGAGGUAAGCCAUGUG
rnacentral:lncRNA from 1 species